rnacentral:rRNA from 1 species
AUGAAUGAUUUCUUGAUGGCACCAUUCUCAGUGGAUGAUGUUAAAAAAGCAGUGUUUAGCAUUGGAGAUUUAAAGGCUCAGGGGCCUGAUGGACUACGUGCAGUAUGUUUUAAGAAAUAUUGGCAUAUCCUAGGAGAUGAGAUCACUCAUGAGGUGCUAUUUGCUAUUAAUUCAAGACAGAUCCCGAAUGAAUGGAAUGACACAACUAUUCCCAUGAUACCCAAGAUUGACAGUCCAGAACUGGUAACUCAAUUCCGUCCCAUAAGCUUAUGUAAUGUCCUUUAUAAAAUCAUCUCUAAAAUGCUUGCGCUUCGGUUGAAAAAAAUAUUGCUUGAGAUUAUCUCCCCUACCCAAAGUGCAUUUGUGCCUGGAAGGAUGAUCACAGAUAAUAUCCUUAUAGAUUAUGAAUGUGUGCAUAAAAUAAAGAACAAGAGGGCUGGUCAGACUGGACUAUGUGCGGUUAAAUUGGACACGCACAAGGCAUACGACAGGGUGGAAUGGUCCUUUUUGCAUGAUAUGAUGGUGAAACUGGGUUUUCAUGAACAAUUGAUUCAAAUGAUAAUGGCUUGUGUUGGCUCUGUUAGAUACAAAAUAAGGUUUAACUCUCAGGAGACGGAUGUUUUCAUCCCGACUAGGGGUAUUAGGCAGGGGGUCUACUCUCCUUACCUUUUUCUCCUUUGCGCAGAAGGUCUUUCUAGUUUAUUGCAGUUUGAAGAAGAAUUAGUUGGUGGCAUAGAGGGGAUUAGAGUGUGCAGAAAUGCACCAUCAGUAUCACACCUUUUAUUCGCUGAUGAUUCUCUGAUUCUCGUGAAAGCAGACGUUUUAAAUGUAGCUUCCUUACAGCAUGUUCUAGAUGCCUACUGUGAAAGCUCGGGACAAUUGGUGAGUUUGGCUAAAUAUAGUAUUUUCAGUCCUAACACACCUGCAACUUCUAGGACUGAAAUAUGCCAGGAGUUACACAUUGAUACCGAGGCAUUAUGAGAUAAGUAUCUUGGGCUACCAGCUGUGGUGGGUGCAGAUAGGAGUGACUGCUUCAGGUAUUUUUAUGAAAGAAUAAAAGGAAAAGUGAAGGGAUGGAUGGAAAAAUAGUUGUCUACUGGGGGGAAAGAGAUAUUACUUAAAUCUGUAGCCCAGGCUAUCUCAGUAUUUGCGAUGUCUGUUUUCAGCCUACCCAAAGGCCUAUGCAAGGAGAUAACUGAUUUGAUAGCUCAAUUUUGGUGGGGGUGA